AGUCCAGGGCCUGGUAGAAGACCUGUGGGGCCAAGGCGUGCUCCUGCUGCAGGAUUUGACACUGCUCCAGGGUCAGGGACAUGGCAGUGCGGUCUUUGGCGCUCUUGCAGCUGGCGCUAAAUGGCGGACAUAUUGCUAGCAGAGACAAACCAACCAACCCCAAAACGCACCUCGGCCGCCUGCCACAGAAUCUCCACGUUCUUGCUCUUCUUGGCGUUGAUGUUCUGGUUGAGCAGUCUGAGCAGGUCGGGCAUACCGGUGCUACUGCGAGAGCGAUGCAGGCCUGAGAAGACCACGACAGGGGAGGUUGUGUGUGGACUGACGGUCUGGCAGAAGACGACGUCGCGGCGGUACUGCAGCGUGAGGCUCAUGGCGAUGGUGGGGGCGCUGUCCUGCAUGAGGAGGAACACCAUGGCCUUCCUGGCCUUGUCGCCCAGCAGCGAGGCGCAGUCGCUCAGCGUGGCCAGCAGAGGGUGCAUAGCCUCGCUCCACUCACCUGCAGGUCACUGAUGGUCUCCUGGUAGGUGAGGAUGAUGGUCUGGUACUGUGUGAUGAUCUGCCUCCGGAGGUUCUCCCAGCAUGGCGACAGCUCGCCAAGUUCUUCCAGCUCGCACACCCUAACGCAGCAGCUUGACAAACUGUCGAGGGAUGUGCAGCGAGAGAACACUCUCCGCCAUCUGCUCCAGGACCCGAAGAUGGUUGCCGUCCGUGGUGGGGAAACGAAUCAAAGUGGAAGUGACUUCAACCGGACCCCGAGUCUCCUUGUGAUACUUGUGCGCCUCGAUCUCAGCUGUCACGCAUGAGUCACUAAAAGGAGGAAAACAGGUAUUAGUCCGAUAUCGCCAUGGGAACAGAUGACACAGCCAAGAAGGCAGAUGAUGCUGACGUCAUCCCCUCUCACAUCUGGCUGCAUUUACACUGGUACAAUUAGCGUCUCUGUCAACGCGCUAAUGCAGACAGUGAGAAACGUCUAAAUAUACACCUGCUAGCUGCUAGCUUCUCCUGCUUUCACACACACUUUUAAUUAGUCUUGUACAGGAAGUAUUGCAAUAGCUUUUUACUGGGAUGGAACCCUAGAAAGUACUACUAGCAUUUCUUGGGCAAAAUUAUUUAAACAAACCAUAAUUUUGUAAUUAAGAAAAGUGUCCAAAUACUUACCAAAAAUGUUUACACUUAUUGUGCAUUAUAAUGAUUGUACAAUCCAAUCCAAUCCACUUCAUUUAUAUAGCACAUUUACACAACAAGAACGUUUCCAAAGUGCUGCACAGCCAUGUUAAAAACAAUAUUAAAAACGAUAUUAAAAACAAUAUUAAAAACAAUAUUAUGCUACACCAAUGACUGAAUAAAAACAAAGAAUAAAUGAAUAGAAAACCAAUACAGAGACAAUAUAAAAAAUAAAUAUGAUUAAAAACGAUUUUAAAAGGUAAAACCAAUUAAAACAGUAAAAUAGACAUCAAAAUGUAUAACCCUAACCCUAACCCUAACCACACAGGACAACAGAGGACAGAAGACCACACAACUCACGUAGUGUUAAAAGCCAAAGAAUAAAGGGGGUUUUAAGACGAGACUUAAAACACUCCACUGUGGAAGCAGUUUGAACAUGGAGGGGCAGAGUGUUCCAGAGUUUAGGGCCGACCACAGAGAAGGCCCUGUCUCCCCUGGUUUUAAGUCUCGUCCUGGGCGCCACGAGCUGGAGCUGGCUCUCGGACCUCAGAGCGCAGGAGUGUAAAUUUGGAUGAGGUCUGAGAUAUACUGAGGUGCCAGUCCAUGUAAAGCUUUAAAAAGAAACAGCAAGGAUUUAAAAUCAAUUCUAAAAUGAACAGGGAGCCAGUGCAAACUCCGAAGAAUUGGGGUUAUAUGCUGGCGUUUCCUGGCCCCUGUUAAAAGUCGUGCUGCCGCGUUCUGGACUAACUGCAACCGGGAGAGAGCUUUUUGGCUAAUGCCAGCAUAAAGUGCAUUGCAGAAGUCCAGGCGACUUGAAAUAAAAGCAUGCACGACUUGUUCAAAAAGGUUAAAAUGAUAAAAAUGGUUUUACCUUUGCUAAAAGACGAAGAUGAUAAAAACACGAUUUUAAAACGCCAUUGACUUGUUUGUCAAAUUUAAAAUCGCUGUCUAUAGUGACGCCAAGGCUGGUGACUUUGGGACGCACAUAAUUUUGCAAUGGUCCCAAGUCAGUGAGGGCCGGACCAAAAACUGAAAUUUCCGUUUUUCCCUCAUUCAUUAUUAAAAAAUUCUGGGCUAACCAAGCCUUGACGUCACAUAGACAGUUGAGAAGGGUGUCAGGGGGCCGUGGCCUUUUGAAAUUGGCAUAUACAUUUGGCAGUCAUCUGCAUAAAAGUGAUAAGACACUCCAUGUUUCUUAAAAAUCUCUCCAAGAGGGAGAAUGUACAAGGAAAACAGGAUGGGGCCUAGAAUGGAUCCCUGGGGGACACCACACAUCCUAAAAACAUCAUGGAGGCAUCAGGAAUGUUAAAAGUAGCUUGAUUGUAUUUCAUUAUUGGUAUUAAACUAGUACUAGUCAAUGUUAAAGCAACCCUCAAAGCUAAAGACAAAAACAUGCAUUGGGGGAAAAGAAGAAAUAUAUUUAAAUAAAAUAAAUACAAAUCUAAAAUAUUUAUUGAACAAAAAAGGAAAACAAACGAAUAAAAAAUGUAUAGUAAUAAUAGCUAAUGUAAUGUAAAUUAAAACAAUAUAAUACAAAAACAAAUAAAAUGUUACACAAAUAUACAACUAAAAUCACAAGUAUUAUACAUAAAAUAAGAUAAAAUGUAAUACAUUUUCAAAUAAAAAUAUAUCAGUCACUUAUUUUUAAUUCUAUUAUGAAUAAAACAAACCUAAUACAACAAAAUGCAUACCACCAAGAACCUUUGUUCAGACAAUCAACAUACAAUAUUUCAACAUACAGUAAAUACUACCAGUUCACCUUCUUAAAUCAAGUGUAUUUCUCAACAUGUAAUUAAAAAAAACCCUGAAAAUAAUCAAAAGAUUAAUAAUUAUUACAAAUAAAUACGAGUUACAUUUUGCACUGUAAAAAAAAACAGUGUGACAAUAAUUAAUUAACAUUUGACAUAAGGGCUGCAACGAUUAGUCGACAAAUGUUAUUGUCGACAAUAACAUUUGUCGCCACCAAUUAUAUUUGCAGACGAUAGCCGUGACGUCACCACUCGUGUUUUUCCGGCUGGAAGUGAGUCCGCACCGCCACGCGCAAAAACACCGCCAGUGAUAACAUAUACUGUAAAGUGUGAGAACAUUUCCUCCUAUUCUUGUUCAAAACAUUACUACCUCGCUCAUUUUGCAAAGCGGACAUUGUUUUUUUGGUAGUACAUAUCUGUGAUACGCGAACAUUUAAAAUGGAGACACAAUGUCGAACAUCUGGAGGGAGGAUGUGGUCUCAGCCUCUGAACGAGUGUUAGCAGAUGGUGUAUGUUGUAGCGUCCCGGAAGAAUUAGUGCUGCAAGGGGUUCUGGGUAUUUGUACUGUUGUGUUUAUGUUGUGUUACGGUGCGGAUGUUCUCCCGAAAUGUGUUUGUCAUUCUUGUUUGGUGUGGGUUCACAGUGUGGCGCAUAUUUGUAACAAUGUUAAAGUUGUUUAUACGGCCAUCCUCAGUGUGACCUGUAUGGCUGUUGACCAAGUAUGCUUGCAUUCACUUGUGUGUGUGUGAAAAGCCGUACAUAUUAUGUGAUUGGGCCGGCACGCAAAGGCAGCGCCUUUAAGGUUUAUUGGUGCUCUGUACUUCUCCCUACGUCCGUGUACCACGGACGUAGGGAGAAGUACAAAGUACAAUUUCAUAAAUUUUACUUUUUGAAACCGAUAAUUUCCGUUAUUACAUUUUAAACCAUUUAUCGGCCGAUAAUAUCGGACUGCCGAUAUUAUCGGACAUCUCUAGUAAAAAUACAUAUUUAUGAAUGAAUUAGACAUCUUUGUUGUAAGCACAUGCCUAAAACAACAAGCUGCAUUUAGAAGUUGAUGGAAAAUUAGAACCAUUAAAUAUGAGUACGCUUUAUUAUCUGACUAAUUGUUAAGAUAACCGAUGACUAAUUGACUAUCAAAAUAAUCAUUAGUUGCAGCACUAUUUGACAAAUACAAAUUAGUGUUGUCCCGAUACCAAAAUUAUUUCGGUACUUUUCUAAAUGAAUGGGACCACAAAAAUUGCAUUAUUGGCUUUAUUUUAACAAAAAAUCUUCGAGGACAUUAAACAUAUGUUUCUUAUUGCAAGUUUGUCCUUAAAUAAAAUAUUGAACAUACAAGACAACUUGUCUUUUAUUAGUAAGUAGGCAAACAAAGUCUCCUAAUUUAGCUGCUGACAUAUGCAGUAACUUAUUGUGUCAUUUUUCAUUCUAUUAUUUUGUCAAAAUUAUUAAGGACAAGUGGUAGAAAAUUAAUUGUUAAUAUACUUGUUCAUUUACUUUUAAUAUCUUCUUACUUUCUCUUUUAAACAUGUUUUAUUUACACUUCUGUUAAAAUGUAAUAAUCACUUAUUCUUCUGUUGUUUGAUACUUUACAUUGGUUUUGGAUGAUACCACACAUUUGGGUAUCAAUCCGAUACCAAGUAGUUACAGGAUCAUACAUUGGUCAUAUUCAAAGCCCUCAUGUGUUCCUAAAUUUAUAAACCUAAUAUAAAUUUAAAAAAAUAUAAUUAAAUAAAUUAAAUUACUGAAUUUUUUUUAAAACGGUACUUUUUAGAGGCGGUAUAGUACCGAAAAUGAUUCAUUAAUAUCGCGGUAUUAGUAUUACUAUACCAACAACCUUAAUCCAAAUGUUUGUAAAUAAUUGAUAUUGAUAAAAACAGGUAGAUUUUUUCUUUUUAUUAUUUUUUAUUCCGUUUUACAACACGUUUCUUCAGUUUGAUUGAAUUUUAUUUUUGUCUCCAGAUCAGAAUUUCAUGAGGGACAGUGCAGAUCAUGUGACGUCGCACGAACAAAAAAGUAAGAGCUGUGUAUUCAUGUGUUAAGGAGCACCGCCACGGCGCUCUAUUUUUACACGUGAGUCUGUUUUGACGUCACCGACCAACAACCACAAUAAGGCAUCCUGCUGCUUCUCUCUGCGCAGUCACAGAUGACAAAUACAUCAUGGCCGCUACGCCACAUUAGACUCAGUGUGUGUGUGUGUGACUGAAGGGCGCCGUGGGAAGCUCUGUGGGUUUGGUGCGACGACUCAGGUGGCCCCAGAUCAUCGUCAUGGCUACAUGUGUUUGACAAGCGUCUUCAUCAUCAUUCUCUGCGUGUGGCGAGCUUCUUCAUCUUUGAGCUCAUUAAGUCACAACAUUACAGGUAAACAGUGACGGGCAGUAACAAACUACAUGGAGCUAAGCUACAUAGCUCAACUACAUUUCCCAGUAGCUUGGCGGUAGCUUCCAUACUUUUUGAACGGGUAACUUUUCCUGAAACUUAGCUAUUUUUAGUCCCAUGGAGCGAGGUAUCUUACAUCAAAGCUACAAGCUACAAAGACAGAAAAUACGAAAAGUGCCAAUUCAGGCCAAAAAAUGAGAAAAUACAAUGACCUGAUGAAUGAGAACAUUUCUACAUACGGGGAAAAUCCAUGAUGAUUGGUUGGAGUUCGUAUGAUGAGUCAAAAUUGGCUAAGGUUAGGGCGAAACAUUACAGACUGGCCGAUCAGAGGCAAGACAAGGCGGGUUAUUGAAACCAGGAAGCAAAAUCAUAACAGACCGCACUCAUGUCACAUGACUACGAGGGAGUCGGAGACAGAGGGACGCUUCAAGCUGACUCAAAAAAAGAAACAUACUUAAAUGAGAUUCGCUCAUGCAGAUUAUAUUUUUCCUUUAGUGAUGAAGAUGAGGUGCAGGAAACCCACAAUAUAGCGUGUCCUUAGCCAUAUAUUUAGACAAUUGUAUGCGUUUAACGUAAACAAUGCCCAAUACAUUACUCUGUAAACCAAAACCAUAACUGCUCUGUUCAUCGAAGACGUCCAACACAAAUUUAAGAACACAGAUUAAAGUGACUUGAUGUCAUGUAAAGAUUUACUGCACAUAACCAUUACCAACUGUACCCAAACAGCUCACAUGUCUUUGUUUUGUUUUUUUGUCAAAAUAUAGAUAGAUGCUGUUUUUAUUUACUGUAGGCAGAGAAAAUGAAUAGCAUAAUAGGUGUGGGCUAAAGAAAAGGCAAACUAAAACAAAUACUUAUAGUGGGGUGCUGAUACCCCUAGAGGUAGUUGUAGGAUGUCCCCAGCUAAAUGACAUAUGGUUGAUAGUAAUGGACCCCUAUUGGGUCCGUUUGUACACUCAGUUACAUUAACAUUGAUAUUUUACAUGUGGGUCCAUAGAUAUAAAUGCUGUUAAAUUGAGUCUGUAGCAUAAUACAUGUCAUACUGGGUUUCAUCUGACCACAUAACUUUCCUCCAGAAGGUCUUAUCUUUGUCCAUGUGAUGUCAGAUGAAACAACAUUUUAGCUGUUUGGCCACAAUACCCAGCCAUGUUUGGAGGAGAAAAAGUGAGGCCUUUAAUCCGAGGAACACUAUGCCUACCGCCAAGCAUGGUGGUGGUAGUAUUAUGCUCUGGGCCUGUUUUGCUGCCAAUGGAACUGGUGCUUUACAGAGAGUAAAUGGGACAAUGAAAAAGGAGGAUUACCUCCAAAUUCUUCAGGACAACCUAAAAUCAUCAGCCCGCACGUUGGGUCUCGGGUGCAGUUGGGUGUUCCAACAGGACAAUGACCCCAAACACACGUCAAAAGUGGUAAAGGAAUGGCUAAAUCAGGCUAGAAUUAAGGUUUUAGAAUGGCCUUCCCAGAGUCCUGACUUAAACCCCAUUGAGAACAUGUGGACAAUGCUGAAGAAACAUGUCCAUUUCAGAAAGCCAACAAAUUUAGCUGAACGGCACCAAUUUUGUCAAGAGGAGUGGUCGAAAAUUCAAGCAGAAGCUUGCCAGAAGCUUGUGGAUGGCUACCAAAAGCGCCUUACUGCAGUGAAACUUGCCAAGGGACAUGUGACCAAAUAUUAACAUUGCUGUAUGUAUACUUUUGACCCAGCAGAUUUGGUCACAUUUUCAGUAGACUCAUAAUAAAUUCAUAAAAUAACCAAACUUCAUGAAUGUUUUUUGUGACCAACAAGUAUGUGC